rnacentral:rRNA from 1 species
AGAAACUUAAAGGAAUUGACGGGGGCCCGCACAAGCGGUGGAGCAUGUGGUUUAAUUCGACGCAACGCGAAGAACCUUACCAGGGCUUGACAUCCCCUGACCGCGUAUGAAAGUACGUUUUCACCUUCGGGUGACAGGGAGACAGGUGGUGCAUGGUUGUCGUCAGCUCGUGUCGUGAGAUGUUGGGUUAAGUCCCGCAACGAGCGCAACCCCUACGUUUAGUUGCUAACGCGUGAAGGCGAGCACUCUAGACGAACUGCCGUUGACAAAACGGAGGAAGGUGGGGAUGACGUCAAAUCAUCAUGCCCCUUAUGUUCUGGGCUACACACGUGCUACAAUGGCCGGUACAGACGGAGGCGAAGCCGCGAGGCGGAGCAAAUCCGAAAAAGCCGGUCUCAGUUCGGAUUGCAGGCUGCAAUUCGCCUGCAUGAAGUCGGAAUCGCUAGUAAUCGCAGGUCAGCAUACUGCGGUGAAUACGUUCCCGGGCCUU